rnacentral:rRNA from 1 species
AUCUGGGAUGUCCAAUCGGGCCCCCAAGCAAACACAUCCAUGUGUACUCUCCCAUGUUGCUUCCCCAGAUCAGUGGCCACUGCUGCCAGCUCACCCCCUUGACUGGGGCCCUGGGUUGAGGUGUCUGGGGAAGGGCCCAAUAUCAAACCUUUGAACCAAUUAGUUGUCUGAAUAGGCCACCUGCCGCAAUCUUUAAAACAUGUUAAAACUUUCAACAACGGAUCUCUUGGCUCUCGCAUCGAUGAAGAACGCAGCGAAAUGCGAUAAGUAAUGUGAAUUGCAGAAUUCAGUGAAUCAUCGAAUCUUUGAACGCACAUUGCGCCCUUUGGUAUUCCUUAGGGCAUGCCUGUUCGAGCGUCACUAAAAACCCCCUCACAGAUAAUGUGGUAUUGGUAGAAGUGAACGGUACUUACAUUACCUUGUCUCACUCUGCUGAAAUAAAUAGGCCAGAGAAGUGGACCCAUGGUAAUUGACUCCAGGAGUGUUUUUCAAUGCUAAACUAGUCUUUACCCAAGUCAAGUUCUGAGCUACCGGACCCCCAUUAAGUCCAAAACAAAGUGGUUGACCUCGGAUCAGGUAGGGAUACCCGCUGAACUUA